rnacentral:rRNA from 1 species
GAUGAACGCUGGCGGCGUGCCUAAUACAUGCAAGUCGAGCGAACAGACGAGGAGCUUGCUCCUCUGAAGUUAGCGGCGGACGGGUGAGUAACACGUGGGUAACCUACCUAUAAGACUGGGAUAACUUCGGGAAACCGGAGCUAAUACCGGAUAACAUGUUGAACCGCAUGGUUCAACAGUGAAAGAUGGUCUUGCUGUCACUUAUAGAUGGAUCCGCGCCGCAUUAGCUAGUUGGUAAGGUAACGGCUUACCAAGGCAACGAUGCGUAGCCGACCUGAGAGGGUGAUCGGCCACACUGGAACUGAGACACGGUCCAGACUCCUACGGGAGGCAGCAGUAGGGAAUCUUCCGCAAUGGGCAAAAGCCUGACGGAGCAACGCCGCGUGAGUGAAGAAGGUCUUCGGAUCGUAAAACUCUGUUAUUAGGGAAGAACAAAUGUGUAAGUAACUAUGCACGUCUUGACGGUACCUAAUCAGAAAGCCACGGCUAACUACGUGCCAGCAGCCGCGGUAAUACGUAGGUGGCAAGCGUUAUCCGGAAUUAUUGGGCGUAAAGCGCGCGUAGGCGGUUUUUUAAGUCUGAUGUGAAAGCCCACGGCUCAACCGUGGAGGGUCAUUGGAAACUGGAAAACUUGAGUGCAGAAGAGGAAAGUGGAAUUCCAUGUGUAGCGGUGAAAUGCGCAGAGAUAUGGAGGAACACCAGUGGCGAAGGCGACUUUCUGGUCUGUAACUGACGCUGAUGUGCGAAAGCGUGGGGAUCGAACAGGAUUAGAUACCCUGGUAGUCCACGCCGUAAACGAUGAGUGCUAAGUGUUAGGGGGUUUCCGCCCCUUAGUGCUGCAGCUAACGCAUUAAGCACUCCGCCUGGGGAGUACGACCGCAAGGUUGAAACUCAAAGGAAUUGACGGGGACCCGCACAAGCGGUGGAGCAUGUGGUUUAAUUCGAAGCAACGCGAAGAACCUUACCAAAUCUUGACAUCCUCUGACCCCUCUAGAGAUAGAGUUUUCCCCUUCGGGGGACAGAGUGACAGGUGGUGCAUGGUUGUCGUCAGCUCGUGUCGUGAGAUGUUGGGUUAAGUCCCGCAACGAGCGCAACCCUUAAGCUUAGUUGCCAUCAUUAAGUUGGGCACUCUAAGUUGACUGCCGGUGACAAACCGGAGGAAGGUGGGGAUGACGUCAAAUCAUCAUGCCCCUUAUGAUUUGGGCUACACACGUGCUACAAUGGACAAUACAAAGGGUAGCGAAACCGCGAGGUCAAGCAAAUCCCAUAAAGUUGUUCUCAGUUCGGAUUGUAGUCUGCAACUCGACUACAUAAAGCUGGAAUCGCUAGUAAUCGUAGAUCAGCAUGCUACGGUGAAUACGUUCCCGGGUCUUGUACACACCGCCCGUCACACCACGAGAGUUCGUAACACCCGAAGCCGGUGGAGUAACCUUUUGGAGCUAGCCGUCGAAGGUGGGACAAAUGAUUGGGGUGAAGUCGUAACAAGGUAGCCGUAUUGGAAGG